rnacentral:rRNA from 1 species
UACAGAGGUCUCAAGCGUUGUUCGGAUUCAUUGGGCGUAAAGGGUGCGUAGGCGGCGGGGUAAGUCGGAUGUGAAAUCCCAGGGCUCAACCCUGGAACUGCAUUCGAUACUGCCUUGCUCGAGUACUGGAAAGGAGACUGGAAUUUACGGUGUAGCAGUGAAAUGCGUAGAUAUCGUAAGGAAGACCAGUGGCGAAGGCGAGUCUCUGGACAGUUACUGACGCUGAGGCACGAAGGCCAGGGGAGCAAACGGG